rnacentral:rRNA from 1 species
AUUGAACGCUGGCGGCAUGCUUUACACAUGCAAGUCGUGCGGCAGCGCGGGACUCAGGCAACUGAGCCCUGGCGGCGAGCGGCGAACGGGUGAGGAAUACAUCGGAACGUACCCCGGAGUGGGGGAUAACCCAGCGAAAGUUGGACUAAUACCGCAUAUGCUCUGAGGAGGAAAGCAGGGGACUUCGCAAGAGGCCUUGCGCUCUGGGAGCGGCCGAUGCCGAUUAGCUAGUUGGUGGGGUAAUGGCUCACCAAGGCGACGAUCGGUAGCUGGUCUGAGAGGAUGAUCAGCCACACUGGGACUGAGACACGGCCCAGACUCCUACGGGAGGCAGCAGUGGGAAUUUUGGACAAUGGGGCAACCCUGAUCCAGCCAUGCCGCGU